ACGUAUCACUGACUAAUUUUUUCUGUUUUCUUUUUUAUUAUUGUAUUCCCUAAUCACUCUCAUGUCUGCUUCUCGGUGUUUCCUCUCCAGCCUUCCUUCCCUUUCUCUCUCCUCCCCCAUCCUCUAUGUCCUAUAAGCUUGAACCCUGAAAAUGGCCGACUUCUUCUUCAAGACCAAGAAAGUCAAGGUUGUUCUCCAAAGACUCCCAUCUCUCUACUGGUUACGAUUUAUCCAGGUUUCUCUCUCCUCUCUAGAACAUUCUAAAGUUACCACUUACCACUACUUGAAACAUACCAACUAUUCAAAUUGAAACCCAGUUUCUUAAAUCUACGAAAUUGCAUCUGCGAAAUUGUUGGGAAGCUUUGGUUCCUACUGAUUUGAGUAUUGUUGUUCUUCGAUCAAGGAACAUAUGCCCAAUUUGGACACUCCUGUUGAACCACAACGUUAUUAUAAGCUCUUGGAGAAGGAUACAAUACAAUUUGUAAUAGCACUCGAGAAUAUUUGCUGCUGCAUGAGAACUCCAAUACCAAAUCAACCUCAGCUACCAGACUCAUAGUUGUCGUUGAUGGCGCGAGAAUAUGCAUAAGGAUUCUUGCAGGAUUUUCUUCAAUCUUGCGAAUGUGUUGCAAGUUCAACUUGCGAAUGUGUUGCUCGUGUUGCUGAUCUCUUAAACUUGGUGGGUAUGGCUUUUUUUAUCGCUGGUGGAUAGCGAUGUAGCAUGCCUCAUGUCAAGAUCGAGAUUGCUCUUCUCUAUGGUCUAUACAAAUCAUGGAAUACAAAUAUUCUUUAUUUAUGUUAAUGAAAACUACUUUGCUAACAAAGACUAAUUUAUCAUUAUUCGGUUUUAGCUAAAUUGAUAACCACAUCCAUUUUAUAUACUUCUUUUCUUGAAAAAUUACAUAGCGAACAAACAACAUAACAUUAGUAUAUAAUACAUUACAAAAUCAAAUCAAUAUCGAUUACAAUCUGCCAUUUCUACAUAUCAUUAGUACAAAUAUACAGAGAGCAUUAGAACAAAGUUGGUACUAAGUUAGUUUUUCCUACGAAUACCGCGCGCAACGCGUGCGGCCCCCAACUACUAGUUUUCUUAAAAGUUUGAGCUUGUUCACGAGGUGAGCUCAGCUCAUGAAAAUUUCGACCAGAGCUUAUAUGUUCACGAACAAGGUAUGUUCAUUAACUCCCGUACGUACAAGAUAGCAGAAAGGUUUUACUUCAACAUAUCAAACCACAAACCAUAUGACAAGCAACACACAAGAAUUCGUUCAUGUCGAGGGUUAGACACUAAACCCUUAGGAUUAACAACUCAAAGAUUUCUAAAUGUUAAGGGACUUGUGAACUAAACCGUGUUGCCAUGUUGAUCCUGACUUUUAGAGGCUCUAGGAGAAAAAAUAAUUAUUGGCCCCUAUAUAUAAAUAAGAAUUUUAAAUUUUAAAUCUACAUGACAAAUAAGUUCAUUAAAUUAAUACGCUAAUUAUACUUUUACGGUGCAUUUUGUUACAAAGUACAAUAUUUUGUAGAGAUAAAUCAGAUGCAUUCAAAAUUUCUUUCAUCUUAUUUCUAUGAUUUCAUUAAAAGAAAAAUGAGAUUUUACGUCUUUAUAUACAUUUCACGAAGAGUAUGAAAUGUAAGAAGAUUAUGACACGUUAAUCUUUAUAGGAUAAGAUCCUUAACACAAGUAACUUUCAUACUUCCUCCGUCUUUUAAUACUCGCAACGUUUGGACUUUUGCCACUAUUCAUAUAAUCUGCUUUGACUAUUCGUAGUGUUUUUUAUAUAAGAUAAAACAUAGUCGUGUGGGAUCUUAUUAAAUUCGUCUCAAUGUUAUUUUCAAAAUAUCAACUUUUUAUAAUUUUUGCAUAAAGAAAAUUUAAGAUAUAAAUGAUCAAAAUUGUGCAUUGGCAUGCGUGAAACUAACAAACGUUGCGAGUAUUAAAAGACGGAGGAAGUAUAUGUUAAUAUUUUUAAAAAUAAAUUGAAUAAUUUUAUUAGAUCUUGAUUUUGUUGAAUUAAAGAUGUCAAACAACUCAAAAAUAAAAUAAAAUUUACAGUACAUAACACUAGGAAGUAUGAAUGAAAAGACUUAAAUUUGUUAAACAUAUGUAGAAAAAAAGAACAAAAACUUUUGUGUGCCCCCGAUCUACGGUAUUUUACUGUACAUCCAAAUAUAAAAGUGAACUAGAUAAAAAUAUAUAAGUGACCUUAUUCAAGGACUAAAGUUACCUUACUCUAGGAUAAAUGUGACCCUAAGCAUUGAAAAACGCGACCCUAACAAUAAACAAUGAAGUGACCCUAAUCAAAAGUGAUAUGCUUGUGCAAGUUAUAACUAUGACCAAUACAACACCACAAAUGAAAAUAUACAUCAAUACACAAAUACAAUAUAGGUAGUAAGCUACGUGGAGCUUCACCCCACACCAUGUACAGUAUUGUACAUUGCUCUACCAUUUGAGUUAAUAGCCUUGCAAAUAAGGUAACUUAUAACUACAAUAAAGAAAACUUAUAACAUCAAUAAGGGUAACUAAAAGAACAUAAUAUUUGCGGAUAACCUUCCUCUUUUAGACCGUCACACAAUAUAUUAUCGUAGAUCGGCCUUUCUGAAAAGUUUGUAAAAAAAGAAAAGAACCGAAAAAAUUAUUAAAGGAAUUGAUUUUAGAAACAAAUACUCCCAUAGUUAAAAUAAGAAAAAUAUAAAAAAACCAAAGCCAGAUGCUUUAAUUAGUAAAAAAACAAAGCGGAGGAAUUAAAUUCAAAAGGUUGUCCGACAGUUUACCUCCUGAAAAUUCCUAUCUCUUUCUCAACCGGGCAAGCUGAUUCUCCUCAACUCAAUAAUCUCAGCAAUGACCACUCAUAUUAUGGGCAUAUACCAGAUUCCAAAGGUGGUGCUUAAAAAGAUUUCUUCUCUUAUGCUC